UCUUUCAAUCUCAUUAGUUAUGGCAUCAACAUAUACUGGGUGAUUAGUGUAUAUUUAUGUUUCCUAAGACCACUGAGCAGUGAGGCUAAUAUUUCUAUACGGAUUUGAGAGAGCUUAUCAAAUCAAUAGUUACACUUUGUCCUUUAUUUGAACUUGGAAAAUUAAAUCCUUUACACAUUCAUAUCAACAAAGAAGCAUCCAUGUUUCCUUUGGGUAAUACUAAGUAAGAGAUUAAAUCAAAGAAAUAUGAGACAUCAUUUACAUUAAUGAUUAGAUUGAAUUUCAUCCUCUAAAACUUCAAACCUGUUGAGCUAGCUAUUCUGGGCUACAGGAAAUAUUUCACAUCAAAUAAGUGCUUUCAGAAUCAAGGUUACUACUAGGAGUCUAGAAGUAAUGAAAGUUUGCAGAGUUCACAAUAACACAAUAACAAAUGUCAUAUUGAUGCAUGAAGUAUGUAAUUCACUCAAAAUUAUAUCCUCCAGUCUUUUGACACAAAACCUUCCUGCCUAGAGAUUGAUUCUUUAAUGAGAUUUAAAAUGCAUUUUAAAAAGUUUUCACAUGACGGAAAUGUCUGCUUUGAGAUUUUUGGGUUAAUUAUGUUCAUAAUAUAGAUAGAUAGCAACACUGCAAGCAGUGUCAUUCCUUUGCAUAGUUUUAAAUUAUCCAUUUAACUAUAAUAUCAAGUAUAUUUAGGGCAGCUAUUAUAAAUGAAAAAAAAAUACAUAAUACAGGUUACUCUAGAUAGCUCAAAGUUUAUGGGACCAAGGAAAAAUUUCAAAGUAUCAAGAGUUCGAGAUUUCAAGAGUUUGGAAUUAUCUGGGUUGACCGACGGGUUUUAAAAUUAGUCUUACAAUAUGUUAUGAUUAAGCUAUAAUUUAUUAAGUGCUAACAUUACUAUGCGCUUAAACAACAUUUUCUUUCCAAUUCAAAAAUACAGACCUGGAUGUUUUAGAAACUAAAUAAAAACAAAAGAUGUUUGUGAAACACUAAUCCCCCGUCCCUUGGAAACAUCCACAAAGAAAAUGAAUGUACACUGCAAAUAUUUGGAAUUUUUUUAAGUCCAAGGGACAUAACACUGUCAAAAAUUGCUUUAUCAUACCCAAAAUCUAACUUGACCUAGAUAUUAUCAUGAUUAACCUGUUUACCAAAUUUCAUCCCUUCCUCAAAGGGGGGCAUAACAAAUAUUGAAUAAAUUCAUUAUACACAGUAAUUACUUAUUUAAUGCAUCAUAUUAUGAUCAGAUUGCUUAGCAAUACUGGACUGCGAGACGACGUCGUAAAUUAGAUAAGUGAGUAUCACAAUGCCAACUAUCCCGAUUUUUGCGGGAUUCUCCCAAUUUCACGUCGUCAAAAAUACAAAUCCUGAUAUCCCCAUCGGGAUUGUGAAAAUAGCCCGAAAUCCCGAUUCUAAAAAAAUCCAACCCGUUUUACGACAAUAAGUCCCGAUUUCCAUCUAAAAUUUGAAAUCCCGCGCUGCUUGUCUACGCUAACCAAUCAAAAAGCGGGAUUAUGACCGCCAUUGCUGUUUACCUGUAUUGCGUGUGUAUAUCGAGAUGUGUGAAUUGGUGUAAUUACAUGUACGCUACCUGUGUCUAGGUGUUUGCAAACGUAAUGAGGAGUAUGUUUUGAUAGUAAUUAAUCAGGAAGUAUCGGGAUGGAUAGCAAAACGCCACACUUUUUACACAAACUUCGACAAGAAUGGGGUUACACCACCAAAGAAAACAAAACUUUCAUCCCGAUAUCGGGAGGCAGAUUCCUAAUUUUCGGGAUGACUAUCGGGAUCGUAAUUGGAUGACAACCAUGUAUAUUGCCGUGCAAUAGAGUAGACCAUGGUGGAAUGAAUGAUGUUACAACGAACACGAAAACAGCCGUCCAUCAAGCCACCUGCUGCUACCAACUUCUUUGUGAAAUCAAAAUUGAUGCAAGAUGAAGAUGACACAAGAGCAGAGGUCCUGUUUGCCAACUGUAUUGCAAAAUUUAGUGCUUUUUGAACUGCUAUACCAUACUAUUUAUUGUUUAUUGAGAUUUUAAAGAUUGAUUAAAUAAAGAUUGAUUUAAUAUAUGAAAAUAAAGUUAUGUACUUUACUUAUGAUUUCAUUUGAAAGAGGAGAUUGUUUGAUAAACAUAUUAGGAUAAUGAUAAAUAGAUAAAGAAACAGAUGAAUUUCUAAGAGUUCAAUUGUUUAUACAAAGCAAUUACAUGACAAAAUGCCGCUAAAUUUCCUUCUAGGAAAAUGUCGUCGGGCGUAAAAUCCCCCAUAGAGAUUUUCAAAAGUUGGCAUGUAUGGUAUCACCCAUUGUUCCCACUGUACGAGUCCUUCACUAGCUGUAAGAACUUGUUCAGCAAUAAUCAUUAUAAUGAUAAUGAUGCAGAUAAGCAUAAUAUAUACACUUUCAAAAUUCUUAAAUUUUGACCAUGGCUCAAAAUUUUCAUUUCAUCUCAAUUUCUCAUUUUCACUGCUUCACCAAAUUAUCGUAAAACGGUCAGUGUACAUAAUAAAUUAUGUAUCAGUAUGGACAUUCAUCAAAUAAUUAUCAUCUUGCAGAACAAGUAUCCCCUGAAUUAUCAACCCGUGACACGGGUCCUGCGUCUAACGCCAGAUGCCAUUUAAAUGAUCAAGUAGGUGUUAAUUUGGUAACGCUUGGAUAUACACAGCCACUUUGAGGUACCUAUAGAUUAUGAAUAACAAAACUGUAGUAUGACUUCGAGGGAUCAAGGCUUUCGAGAGAUCAAUAGUUCGAGAAAUCAAAAGAAAAUUUGCUUAGUUAUAUCUGGAAAAAAAAUCGGGACCCUAGACUCACUUCUAGCGAAUAAGAACUUCGAGCAAUCAAAUUUUGAGCCAUCAAGAGUUACCUGCAUAUUAUUUUACAAGACCUAUAUGCAGUUCACUUAUAUUUUAUACUUUAUCAGUCUAAUCUGUUGUAGAAACAAAUUGGCAGGACAGCGGUCACAAAACAAACCAACCCAACAUAAAACAUGCUUUAACAAUCACACACAUAUUAACAACAGCAUUAUUCAUCUCCCUUUGUAACCAAUGCAACAGAAAUUCCCAAAGAAUCAAACAUCGAUUGAAAUUGAUGAAUUUACUUUGGAC